rnacentral:rRNA from 1 species
GAUGAACGCUGGCGGCGUGCCUAAUACAUGCAAGUCGAGCGAACAGAUAAGGAGCUUGCUCCUUUGACGUUAGCGGCGGACGGGUGAGUAACACGUGGGUAACCUACCUAUAAGACUUGGAUAACUUCGGGAAACCGUAGCUCAUACCGGAUAACAUUUGUAACCGCAUGGUUCUAAAGUUAAAUAUGGUUUUGCUAUCACUUCUAGAUGUCCCCUCGCCGUAUUAGCUAUUUGGUAAGGUAACGGCUUACCAAGGCAACGAUACGUAGCCGACCUGAGAGGCGGGUAGGCCACACUAGAAGGGAGACAGGGUCAAGACGACUAAGGGAGGCAGCAGAAGGGAAUGGGCGGCAACGGGGGAAAGUAUGACGGAGUAAGGGCGAGUGAGUGAUGAAGGGGUCGGGCGCGGAAAAAUGGGUUACUAGGGAAGAACAAAUGUGUAAGGAGAUGUGCACGUUUUGACGGUACCUAAUCAAAAAGCAACGGCUAACUACGUG